UAAGCAUAUCAAUAAGCGGAGGAAAAGAAACCAACAGGGAUUGCCCCAGUAACGGCGAGUGAAGCGGCAACAGCUCAAAUUUGAAAUCUGGCCCCUCCGGGUCCGAGUUGUAAUUUGUAGAGGAUGCUUUUGGUGAGGUGCCGCCCGAGUUCCCUGGAACGGGACGCCACAGAGGGUGAGAGCCCCGUCUGGCUGGCCACCGAGCCUCUGUAAAGCUCCUUCGACGAGUCGAGUAGUUUGGGAAUGCUGCUCAAAAUGGGAGGUAUAUGUCUUCUAAAGCUAAAUAUUGGCCAGAGACCGAUAGCGCACAAGUAGAGUGAUCGAAAGAUGAAAAGCACCUUGAAAAGAGGGUUAAACAGUACGUGAAAUUGUUGAAAGGGAAGCGCUUGUGACCAGACUUGGGCGCGGCGGAUCAUCCGGGGUUCUCUCCGGUGCACUUCGCCGCGUUCAGGCCAGCAUCAGUUCGUCGCGGGGGAAAAAGGCUUCGGGAACGUGGCUCNUCCGGGAGUGUUAUAGCCCGUUGCAUAAUACCCUGCGGNGGANNGAGGNCCGCGCNUCUGCAAGG
rnacentral:rRNA from 1 species